UGGGGGAUAUUGCGCAAUGGGGGCAACCCUGACGCAGCAACGCCGCGUGAAGGAUGAAGGUUUUCGGAUUGUAAACUUCUUUUAUUAAGGACGAAAAAUGACGGUACUUAAUGAAUAAGCUCCGGCUAACUACGUGCCAGCAGCCGCGGUAAUACGUAGGGAGCAAGCGUUGUCCGGAUUUACUGGGUGUAAAGGGUGCGUAGGCGGCUUUGCAAGUCAGAUGUGAAAUCUAUGGGCUCAACCCAUAAACUGCAUUUGAAACUGUAGAGCUUGAGUGAAGUAGAGGCAGGCGGAAUUCCCCGUGUAGCGGUGAAAUGCGUAGAGAUGGGGAGGAACACCAGUGGCGAAGGCGGCCUGCUGGGCUUUAACUGACGCUGAGGCACGAAAGCGUGGGUAGCAAACAGGAUUAGAUACCCUGGUAGUCCACGCUGUAAACGAUGAUUACUAGGUGUGGGGGGUCUGACCCCUUCCGUGCCGGAGUUAACACAAUAAGUAAUCCACCUGGGGAGUACGGCCGCAAGGUUGAAACUCAAAGGAAUUGACGGGGGCCCGCACAAGCAGUGGAGUAUGUGGUUUAAUUCGAAGCAACGCGAAGAACCUUACCAGGUCUUGACAUCCAACUAACGAAGUAGAGAUACAUUAGGUGCCCUUCGGGGAAAGUUGAGACAGGUGGUGCAUGGUUGUCGUCAGCUCGUGUCGUGAGAUGUUGGGUUAAGUCCCGCAACGAGCGCAACCCUUGCUAUUAGUUGCUACGCAAGAGCACUCUAAUAGGACUGCCGUUGACAAAACGGAGGAAGGUGGGGACGACGUCAAAUCAUCAUGCCCCUUAUGACCUGGGCUACACACGUACUACAAUGGAUGUUAACAGAGGGAAGCAAGACAGCGAUGUGGAGCAAACCCCUAAAAACAUUCUCAGUUCAGAUUGCAGGCUGCAACCCGCCUGCAUGAAGAUGGAAUUGCUAGUAAUCGCGGAUCAGUAUGCCGCGGUGAAUACGUUCCC
rnacentral:rRNA from 2 species